rnacentral:rRNA from 1 species
AACGAACGCUGGCGGCAUGCCUAACACAUGCAAGUCGAACGAGACCUUCGGGUCUAGUGGCGCACGGGUGCGUAACGCGUGGGAACCUGCCCUUAGGUUCGGAAUAACUCCCCGAAAGGGGUGCUAAUACCGGAUAAUGCCUUCGGACCAAAGAUUUAUCGCCUUUGGAUGGGCCCGCGUUGGAUUAGCUAGUUGGUAGGGUAAAAGCCUACCAAGGCGACGAUCCAUAGCUGGUCUGAGAGGAUGAUCAGCCACACUGGGACUGAGACACGGCCCAGACUCCUACGGGAGGCAGCAGUGGGGAAUAUUGGACAAUGGGCGAAAGCCUGAUCGAGCAAUGCCGCGUGAGUGAUGAAGGCCUUAGGGUUGUAAAGCUCUUUUACCCGGGAUGAUAAUGACAGUACCGGGAGAAUAAGCUCCGGCUAACUCCGUG